rnacentral:lncRNA from 1 species
AAAUUAAAUCAUUAGUUUAGCUAUUUAAUUUUCAAAGGAUUUUAAAGGCUUUUCCUCCCAUUACUAGACAAAGAUGUUCAGUUUUCUGAGAAAACAUAGUUUCAACCAAAAUUGUUGAUCUUUUCAAAAUGUCAACAUUGACAAGUAAAUAAUUUAGCCAUUUUUUAAAAAUUUAAGGUCACUCUCUUCUUUUUUCUCUCCCCUUUAUUUUCAUAGUUUGGUGAAUGGACAAAGAAGAAUUUUAGGACAACAUUCAUCUAAUGGUUUCAGUUGCCUUUCUCUCUCUAGUCUUUAAAGUAUAUUAUCCCAUUUACCUUUUUUCCUACGUUUGUUCCCCCUUGGGUUCUGACUUGACAAAUUGGUCUUCAGCCUAAGUGUUUAUAAAAUUCCUUUUGUAUCUCUAAGUUGCAAAUACACCUUUAAGCUUAUGAAAAAUAAGUUAGUAUGACUACUGGUAUAAUGUGUUGCCAUUUUAUUAUAAUUUUUUUCCUUUUGAAAAUUGUGAGUGAAGAUUAUUAGAAAUAUGAGUCUUCCAUUGUGUGGGGGAGGAAAUAGAAUUUUCAAUUAUUCCUCAUUUUAAUGGAAUCAGAAUGAAAAAUCUGACUUCUCUAUCUAACUGUAAAUGUAGUAGCAAUAAUCUUGCUGCUAAUUUUUCCUUUCUGAAAUUACUGACACUGCUACCAUUUUUAUUACCAGAAGGAAAGUAAUCCACUGUUUUCUGGAACUACCUUAAAGAAAAAAGUAAUGAAAUUUUAGCACUCUCUGGAAUUUUUAAAGUGUCCACUUCUAGGGCCUAUAAAUAUUCUGAUUCUACCUACCACAGUCUCCACACCUGUAAUGUCUUAAAUCAGAAACUGUAACAAAUCUGGUUUGUGGCUGUGAACAGAGUGGGCUCCACUGAAAUACACGACCACCAACCUUUACAGUUAACUUUAGUCACUGCAUAAUUCAUUUUUAAUACUGCUGUAUCUUUUCUGCUUUAUCAAAAGUUAUGAUUUCAAGUUCUAUUUGUACCUUUUCUGGCUUAGUCUGAACCAGCUUUUUUUUUUUUAAUGUGUCAGGUUAUUAAUCAAAUUUAUACUGUUGUAAAAGUUUCCAUUACUCUCAGCAUCUCUUCCUGCCCCCGCAAUUUUUCACUAUUUGGAUCAAGGUAGCAUUUACCGAGUACUUAUUUUCACACAUUGUGCUUUGAUUAUUAUAUUUAAUUCUUUUUCUAUUUUUAAUGUAGAUUUUAUGAUACAAGCAUCACUGAGGCCUCUGAGAUAAAUUCCACCCAGUUGAGUUCAUUUCAGACUUCAAGUAAACAUUUUUGUUUCCACAGUGAUAAGCUUCUUUAUUUAGUUAAGAAUUACAUAUUAGAAUCUGCUAUGUAUGAAAGGACACACAUCUAAAUUAUAUAAGCGUAAGAAUAUUUUCAUCAAAUACUGAUUCAGCAUGUCUCUUCAGUUAUAUGUUGUAUAUGAGUUUAUUAUAAAAUGACUUCUCUUGAAUUUCUUUCUUAUUGAAGCUUAACCUUUAUGACAUCGCCAAAAAAUGUUGAGCCAUUCUUCAUAAGCUUAUCCAUUUCAGGCAUUAGCUAAAUGUCAUUUGGUGGCUUCUGUUACAUGAAUGUUGAAUCAGUAAGAGAAAUUAUCUGAAGUGGAUUUGAAGACUCUUCCUUUGAUUCUAGUGAAGAGAUCCUUUAAGACCCUGAGAAAACAUGUGGCAAUUCUCUGUGAAUUUGGAAAGGAAGCAUUCACCUAUGAAAGAAAAUGCUUCCAUCAGGUACUUCAAGGUUGAAGAGGCAGAGGACGAGUUAUCCACAAGGAAUUUGGAAGAGAAGCUUGUUUCAAAGUUGGAUGAGCCAUGAUUGAGGUUUUCUUGUAAUCAGCAAGCAAAAUAAAAACAAAAACAAGACAUGACAGAAAAAAAAAAACCAGUAUGUAAGUAGACGAAAUGACUUCCUGUUGGGGAGGUGUUUGACUGCGUGGGGGUGCACAUAAUCAAAAUCAUCAAUCCUACCCAAGCAUGACACUGGCAUAAAACACUACCAAAUGAUGACAUCCUGUUAUUCCUGCAUAAAAGGUAACUAUUUGGGAAAAAAUAACAUAUUAAGCUCAUAUAACUGUCAGUGUGAGAAAAUUUGUCAUAAUUUUUCAGCAGUCAGUUGGAGGAAAGAAGACUGAGAGAGAACAGGAACUUGCCUGGAAAAAAAACAUAACACAAUCUGAGUACAAUGUGUACAGUGUGGGUGAGCUCUGACAUUAAAGAGCAUAGAGUCAUAGAAACUUGAAAUUGGUUAAGUAAAGAAGGCCUGGUCAGAUGGGCUUGGUCAGAUUUGUAUUUCUAAAGAUAGAAAAGGUACAGUAAAAAUAUGGUACUAUAAUUUCAUGGGACCACAGUCAUAUAUGUGGUAUGUCACUGACUGAAAUGUUGUUCUGGGGUGCAUGACUGUAUAUCUGUGUAUUGCUCUUUUUAUAGCAGAGGUCUCCUUUUUUCCAUUCUCAUCGGGUGACAUGCCCUUUAAUCUCUUCCUUUUAAAAUUAUCUCUCAACAUAUACACUCUUUAAAUUUCUCAUUCCAAGAUUUUGCUCUCUUCUUUCCCCACAUAACCUGCAUUUUUGUACAGGUACUAUUUAAAUUCUCUUAUCCACGUUUCUCAUGUUUCUCUUCUCAUCUCCAGUUGUUAUAGCCUAUGAAUGUUUUGCAAAAAAAAAAUUAUUUUUUGAGUCAGGGUUUCACUUUAUCACCCAGGCUGGAGUCCGUCCACUGGCAGCA